AUUGAACGCUGGCGGCAGGCCUAACACAUGCAAGUCGAACGAGUGGCGGACGGGUGAGUAAUGUCUGGGAAACUGCCUGAGGGAGGGGGAUAACUACUGGAAACGGUAGCUUAUACCGCAUACCAUCGGAUGUGCCCAGAUGGGAUUAGCUAGUGGGUGGGGUAAAGGCUCACCUAGGCGACGACCCCUAGCUGGUCUGAGAGGAUGACCAGCCACACUGGAACUUAGGCACGGUCCAGACUCCUACGGGAGGCAGCAGUGGGGAAUAUUGGACAAUGGGCGCAAGCCUGAUGCAGCCAUGCCGCGUGUAUGACGAAGGCCUUCGGGUUGUAAAGUACUGUCAGCGGGGAGGCGUUACCCGCAGGAGAGGCCCCGGCUAACUCCGUGCCAGCAGCCGCGGUAAUAC
rnacentral:rRNA from 1 species